CUCCCUCGCUAUUUCGACAGCCAACAAUGGCGAAACUGAGGACGUCAAUGGACUUAGCCUUCUGGGACUUGAACGUUUCUUCGCCUCAGACCCUUGAGGACUCCGCCAAGGCCGUUCCCGGCUACCCAUUUCCUCUCGACGGUGCUCGAGCCAGCCGAGCCCUCAGGAUUCAGCAACAAUCUCUUCUGGGAAAUGGGUUCCCUUUGGGUGUUAUACCUUCCGACUCCCCCACUACUAACAGGGACUUGGGUUCUUUUUCUCUCCAGUCCCUCUUGCUCAGACCAGCUACCUCUAACUGUUUGUAGUUUGUAUGGUUACUGAGAAAAUGAUGAGUAAUGGGUGUGAUUCGUUUGUUGUUUGUUUUGUUGCUGGGAAAGUUUGGAGAGAGGAGCAAUUGGAAUUGUUGUUAUAGGGAAUUGGUUAAAGGAAAAAGGUGGCUUGGAUUAAUUGGGCAGUUCUGCCGGAAGAAACUUUUAUCUUCUGUUAAAGCUGAAUUAACUAAUGGUGAGAUGGAGGUCCCUACAUUCAAAGAUGUGGCAAUGCAUGUCUUGGACAAGUCACUUUAUUCGUUUGAAUUAUGUACACAGCUUCUUUUGUCUCCGUCAUCAUCCAUAAAGUUGAGCGCAGAAGGGCAUGGGGAAAGGACGCCACAACAAAUUGGUGCUCUUUCACAAAGCAUGCAUUUGCUUUCCUCGUUUUGACCUUUAAUCAAAUUGUUUAAACAGUCAGAAUUCCUGUUAUCUUUUGUUUGCCGGGUUCAUGAAGCUAGUUUGAAUGAUUUAUGGGUAUUGGAGUUGUUAGGUUUAAGUUCUUCCUGGGGUUUGUUCAUGCCAGGUUGUAGUAUCAUCCUACUGCGAUUUUUUAUCUUUCAUAUGACAAAUUUCUCA